rnacentral:rRNA from 1 species
UACGUAGGGUGCGAGCGUUAAUCGGAAUUACUGGGCGUAAAGCGUGCGCAGGCGGUUUUGUAAGCCAGAUGUGAAAGCCCCGGGCUUAACCUGGGAAUGGCAUUUGGGACUGCAAGGCUUGAGUGCGGCAGAGGAGACUGGAAUUCCCGGUGUAGCAGUGAAAUGCGUAGAUAUUAGGAAGAACACCGGUGGCGAAGGCGGCUCACUGGCCCGGUACUGACGCUGAGGCGCGAAAGCGUGGGGAGCAAACAGG